GUCACAGGUAACGGAUGAUGCCAGUCGACUGGAGGUGGCGCCUCCGUCAGGAUGGCCAAAAAGCAUCAGUCGGGACUGCCAAUAAGCCGCGGCGCAGACAAAUGAAGGCAAUAAAGCGGCAAUGGGAUUAGAUGGAAGAAAAGAAGAUUUUGGGGACAUUUGUCUGCUCCCAUCAAGCAUGUGACUGAUGCAGACGGUGUCGGCGGCGCGGAAGAGUUCUGCAGCCUGCUUUCCAAUAACACUCGGGCUGGAGUGAAGUCUUUUUAAGACGAGAAGUAAUCGAGAAGUGGACACCGAGGCCAGGCCGCUAUCGUCUCCACUGGGCCGCGAGAGACGCUGCGGGUCACCUUCAGGGCCAAGACGAGACAGGACGGGAUGUGAAGACCAGGUCCCAAACCGCAGACGGGCGUGUUACAAGCUUCAGGCUGCUACCUCAUUUCCCCACGUCGACAACUUUCAUCCCCUGUGACAAAUAUUCAGCAUCAAGAGGAAGGAAGGAGGAAGAUUUCGGAAGUUUCCUGCAUAUUUGAUGAGCGCUCCACCAAGCGCCCCCCUCUCUCUCUCUCAACUCGGCUCGCCAAGACGGUCCGGCUGCGGAUGCUGGAAAAGUUCCGACACGAGGCCAGCUGGCCCGGCGGAACAGAUGUGUACAGGACUUUGAUGUAGGUGAGGGUGAAGAGGAGAAGGAAUUGCAAACAAGUGAUGUUUGAAGUGAGGAGGAGAAGAAGAAGAAGAAGAGCGGAGGUGACGGAGGAUGAGGGCAACCUGCGGGGGAAUGUCACGUCACAUCAAGACCAAACUGACACCGGAUCAGGAGACCAAGGGACAAGUGUGUCAGGUGAUCUGCGGAGCGACAGCACCAAGAUGGCACGUUUCUCCAAAGAAAGCACCAAGAUCUCCUAUGAACCUCAUUCUUCUUGGAUGGUGUCCAGCUCCACGAUGGCUGACGUAGUUGGCGUCAAAGGCCGAAUAGACCCGUAGUCGUGGAUUCUUAACCUGAGCGAGGAUCACCUCACAGGAAGUCACCAUGGGAGGUGGAAAGCAGGAGAAUCCCAGGGAACACGAAAACGGCAACCCCCGCUCCAUGCAUGUGGAGAUAAAUGACGAGGAGCCAGAUGUCCUCAAAGUGAUGAUCAGCCACAUCUGAGCAUGCGACGCCCCCGACCUGGACAAGAUGGCCGACGACCCGCUGGCAGCAGCUGAUGAGAUCUCAGCCUGAAGGUUGUCGGUUCGAUCCCCCAUUCUCCUGUGAUCGUGUCGAAGUAUCCUUGGGCAAGAUACUGACCCCCCAGUUGCUCCUGAUGCUGCGUCAUGCGCAGGUAAAUGUGCUAACAGCGUUAAUUGUUAGCAGUGUUAAGAUUGUUAAUUUUGCUAAGCUGCUUAGCUAGCACUUUCCAUUUCAUAGGAGCACAUUCACCAAGUAGAAGUAGAAACGUUGGAAGUCAAAACGGCGUGACACAAAAUGUUGUAAGAUGAAGCACUAUGACACAAAUGAUCAGCAUCCACAAAAUAUCUCGUAACACGAGAUGUUGGAAUGCAAAACGCGGUGACAUUAGACAUCGGAAUAUGAAACGUAAUGCAAACUAUUGUAACCUGAAAUGUUACAACAUGAAAUAGUGUUGCAACCCAAAAUGAAUGCAAUUCGAAGCAUGCCUACGAAUUAUCGGAACCACAAAUUGUUGUAACUUGAAGCGUCCCCACGAAUUAUCGUAACCAGAAAUAGUUGUAACUCGAAAUGUUGUAACUUGAAGCAUAACCAGAAUUAUCGUAACCACAAAUUGUUGUAACUUGAAGCGUCCCCAUGAAUUAUCGUAACCAGAAAUAGUUGUAACUCGAAAUGUUGUCACUUGAAGCAUGCCCAGAAUUAUCGUCACCACAAAUUGUUGUAACUUGAAAUGUUGUAACUUGAAGCUUGGCCAGAAUUAUCGUAACCACAAAUUGUUGUAAUUUCAAGCAUGCCCAGAAUGAUCGUAACCACAAAUGGUUGUAACUUGAAGCAUGCCCAGAAUUAUCGUAACCACAAAUUGUUGUAACUUGAAGCAUGCCCACGAAUUAUCGUAACCACAAAUUGUUGUAACCUGAAGCAUGUCCAGAAUUAUCGUAACCAGAAAUAGUUGUAACUCGAACUGUUGUAACUUGAAGCAUGCCCAGAAUUAUCGUAACCACAAAUUGUUGUAACUGGAAAUGUUUUAACUUGAAGCAUAACCAGAAUUAUCGUAACCACAAAUUGUUGUAACUUGAAAUGUUGUAACUUGAAGCUUGGCCAGAAUUAUCGUAACCACAAAUUGUUGUAAUUUCAAGCAUGCCCAGAAUGAUCGUAACCACAAAUGGUUGUAACUUGAAGCAUGCCCAGAAUUAUCGUAACCACAAAUUGUUGUAACACGAAAAGCUGUAACUUGAAGCAUGGCCAGACUUAUCAUAACCACAAAUUGUUGUAACUUGAAGCAUGCCCAGAAUUAUCGUCACCACAAAAAAUUUUGUAACUUGAAAUGUUGUAACUUGAAGCAUGCCCAGAAUUAUCGUAACCACAAAUUGUUGUAACUUGAAGCAUGCCCAGAAUUAUCGUAACCACAAAUUGUUGUAACACGAAAAGCUGUAACUUGAAGCAUGGCCAGACUUAUCAUAACCACAAAUUGUUGUAACUUGAAGCAUGCCCAGAAUUAUUGUAACCACAAAUUGUUGUAACUUGAAGCAUGCCCAGAAUUAUCGUAACCACAAAUUGUUGUAACUUGAAGCAUGCCCAGAAUUAUCAUAACCACAAAUUGUUGUAACUGGAAGUGUUGUAACUUGAAGCAUGCCCAGAAUGAUCGUAACCACAAAUUGAUGUAACUUGAAGCAUGCCCAGAAUUAUCAUAACCACAAAUUGUUGUAACUGGAAGUGUUGUAACUUGAAACAAAGGUAACACAAAUAUGUUGUCACAUGUUAACAUGCAGAUGUCAUGUAUUUGGUGAAACCGUGCAGGCCCCCCCAUGCACCCCCACCUUCACCCCUGACGUGCCCCUCAUUGAGCCGCCGUCCGUUUUGAAUGGCGUCACACGGACACGUUUUGAUGGCGCCUCUCUUUCCCUAAUUCCCUUUCACUGCUGCCUGGUCUUCGUCCUCGCCGCACACAAUGUGGACUUCAUCCAUUGGGCGAAGACGUGGCGGGUCAACGCCGAGACGUCCCUGUGCUGCGCCUCCUGUCAAUGUGCCACCACUGAGGAGGAGGAGGAGGAUGAAGAGCUGGCGGGACUACUCUUCCGUGCAGAUCAACUCAAGAUCUCUGGAUUUUUCCUUUUUUAGACACCAUGAAAUAAUAUUCCCAUUGUCAUUUUAUGUCUGUGUUUUUAUGUUUUUUAUGUUUAUGUUUUUUAUGUUUAUGUUUAUGUUCCAAAGAAGGUUUAACACAGCAGGCUUCCAAUGAGGCCCGUUGUACAAAACUAGCAUCAGUGGAAAAGUGGGACAUGAGAUGACAUGAGUUACCAUGGAGAUUUAUUCUGUGACUUAGCCUGCUCCACAUCAGGCUACGGUCCAGGAUCUCCUUAAUAUCAUCCCUCAUCCCAGUCAUAAAUGGACGCCAAUAAUUAUCCCACUGUUCCCAAUGUUAUCGCAUUCAGCUGCACCCACUGGCGUCAUUUCAACAUUGUCAUCAUUCAUUUCAAUCAUUGUAUAUAAGUCAUCAGUAGAGCAUUUAUGGGGUCAUUUACACAUCCCAAAUAAAUACAGUCUAAUGGAGUUAUAUUUACACAAUUUCACCUACAAAAUAAAAGGAUCCAUAAUCAAUUACAGUGCGACCCCUGUUGGUUAAUGUUAAUGUGUACUACAUUACCCAGAAGCCUUCGGGCUCGAGGGGAACCGGAAACUACGUUCUCUGGAUGCUACUAGCUAGUAAUUGUGGUAUGCUAAUAAAGCCAACACACAUAACAUUAAUUAACUAUUUAGAUUUUAAUAAUGGCGGUUCCAGCGUAACAGUAAGUGUUUCUUUGUUCACUACUUCCGACCAAAGUAUCGCAAACCAUAAAUACUUCGUCAUUGUUUCGGUUUUUGUUAUGGCUGUCCGGUAUUUGCCGCUUUUUUAUAGGCUCUUCUAAACCUGCUGUGAGGAUUUCCGCUGUUGCGUCAUGGAUGGGCGGGGUCUAUUUAAAGAAGCCGCGUAUUUACGCUAAUUAGGGAAUUGGUUUCACCUGGUUUGAGUAAUUAGCGUCUGCUCAUCUUGUGUCGGCCAUUGUGGAAACCAGUUAAGCCGAGACGCUACUGCUUUGGGCUGCUUGAGCCCUCCCCCCCUUUUGGCCCAGUGGUUUGUCCUGGAUGUCUGAAUCCUACCUGUAGUGUUCAGCCGGCUCCAUGCAGGUGGAAACGCCCGGUAGUCCCAACACCUUCGAUACCUGAUGCCCCGCAAUGAGCAGGAAGGACCACAGCAAAUGAAAAUGAGAACUAUGAGAGGACAAAGUUGGCAAUGAAGUGAGGGGUGCUCGGGCCUUGGGGCUGGAGGAAUGGCGCGGAAACGGAUGGAUGGCGCUAUGAAGAGUGAUCGGGGUGUCACGGAGGCGCGUCGGGGGCCCCCACGACAGAUAGCGAAUGAAGGAGCGACGACGGGGAGAGAUCGCUCUCGUUUGGACUCCAUUUGUCACGACCGACUGAGAAAACCUGAUGCGGCCCAGCCUCGCCCAGACCCUAGCUCCAGUGGCCCCCAGUUUCUCCACAAAGCUGGAAGAACCUGACAAGAUGAUGACUGAAGAUUCGGGGCCAACGAAGAACUCCAUCGAUCCAAAGAGGAGGCUUAUUCACGUCUUUGCCUAAUCUCGUGGAUCAUCUGGUCUUGUGACCUAGCAACGACAGUCACGGAUUUGAACCAUCACUACGUGUCCUGCUGUGCUUCCCUCCGACGCUUGCCAAUCAACCGUGGUCCCUGUGGACGCGUGGACGCCAUUGUUGUCCCUGAGCCCGCUGGGCCCUGACCCCCAGGCCGCCGUACUAAUGGACUGACUAAGAGUAAUUUAGUCAGGCACCUUGAAGGACAGCCGUGGGUCCUAAUUGGAAUCCUUUGACCAGGAAGUUGGUUCGGUGCUUCGACUACUGAUGUCUUGAUGACAAUGUGUUGGACGUGACAAUACAGCGGAGGUGUUGGAACUUGUUCCACGGAUGGUCCCAUACAGAGAAAUCAGGCGGAUGUGAGAAGAAGACGUUGCAGGAGGGCUCAGUCGUGCCAGUUGAGCGAUCAUCAGACUCCUGCAGAUGGUCUUUUUUUUUUUUUUUUUAAAGCCACCAACAACAAAUCUAGCAACUUUUCCUGGUGUCAUUGGAUGACGAGCAGAGGUUCCUGCUGUGCCCCCCGACCCCCACCCCACCCCAUCAUCCAAAAGCACUUCCAGGGAGCUCCGUCUUGCUUGUGACAUUAAAAAAAAUCCCAAAAAGAAGCGACAGAAGUACCAAUUCAUCAUAUUUUGGACAACUGUAUGCGUCUAAUUUAGUGGGAGAAAGGGCCUUUUCUGUUGCCAGUGCACAAAGCAGGCGCCAUGAAGGCCUGCUUGGAUGAGUGUUGUGCGGUAGAACUGGAAAACAGUCCCACAAGCAGCACAACUCCACAUUUUGUUCACUUUUCCCUUCCCGUAGCCGUCCCAAUACUUUUGUCCCUAUGGCACACCAGCGGCAGUAAAACCAGCGGAACAUCUGGGAGCAAAGGUUAAACGGUGAGAGGAGCAACGACUCACUGUCGAGGCACUGCGAGCAGACGGUCUGGGUGGCGCCGCACGGCCGGACCACGCCCUCCCCGGGGGGGCACUCCUUGCAGCACUCGCCGUCCUUGGUGUACUGGGCCGAGUCGCACGGAAGCUGCACCGCCCGCUCGCUCUUGGACGCCGCCGUCGUUAGCGUCACCUGGCGGCACGAGGGGGACACGCCCAUGUCAGCGAAUAGAAGAAGUAAAGAUGAAGUACAGUGAAAAAAGAUGGCUGUUGGCCGUACAUCAUCAUCAUCAUCAUCAUGUCAACUAUGCUGAAUGGCUCCCUUUUUAAUGAAGACAAGUUGCAAGAAGACGACAAGUCCACUGCAGCAUCACGCCACCCAGCCGGGACCUCCUGGACUGGACUCGACCAUGAAGACACAAGAGGAGGAGCAGGAGGAGGAGAGUGUCCUGUCCGAUGUGAGGCUUGGAGG